rnacentral:rRNA from 1 species
GAUGAACGCUGGCGGCGUGCCUAAUACAUGCAAGUUGAGCGAUGAAGCUUGGUGCUUGCUCCUCUUUGGAUAGCAGCGGACGGGUGAGUAACGCGUGGGUAACCUGCCUUUGAGCGGGGGACAACAUUUGGAAACGAAUGCUAAUACCGCAUAACAUCUUUAAACAUAAGUUUUAAGAUUGAAAGAUGGAAUUGCAUCACUCAAAGAUGAUCCCGCGUUGUAUUAGCUAGUUGGGUAGGUAAAGGCUCACCAAGGCGAUGAAACAUAGCCGGACUGGGAGGGUGAUCCGCCCCACUGGGACCUAGACAACGCCCCAAACCCUUCGGGAAGCAACAGUAGGGAAAUCUUGCGAAUGGAGCAAAGGCUUACCGAGCAAAGCCGCGUGAGUGAAGGAGGUUCUCGGAUCCGAAAAACUCGGUUGUAGGGAAGAAACUAGGUGAUAGUGGACAGCGCAUGAAGUGACGGUAACUAACCAGAAAGCGACGGCUAACUACGUG